rnacentral:tRNA from 1 species
GAGGGUAUAGCUCAGUAGUAGAGUGCGUGCUUAGCAUGUAUGAGGUCCUGGGUUCAAUCCCGAGUACCUCCA